rnacentral:rRNA from 1 species
GAUGAACGCUAGCUACAGGCUUAACACAUGCAAGUCGAGGGACCGGCGCACGGGUGAGUAACACGUAUCCAACCUGCCCUUUACUCGGGGAUAGCCUUUCGAAAGAAAGAUUAAUACCCGAUAUAAAGGAUGGGGAUGCGUUCCAUUAGGUUGUUGGUGAGGUAACGGCUAACCAAGCCUUAGAUGGAUAGGGGUUCUGAGAGGAAGGUUCACCACAUUGGAACUGGGACACGGUCCAAAAUCCUACGGGAGGCAGCAGUGAGGAACACUGGUUAAUGGACGCUAGCCUGAACCAGCCAAGUAGCGUGAAGAAUGAAGGUUUAUGGGUCGUAAACUUCUUUUAUAUAAGAAUAUGUAUUAUAUGAAUAAGGAUCGGCUAACUCCGUGACAGCAGCCGCUGUAAUAC